rnacentral:rRNA from 1 species
UACAGAGGUCCCAAGCGUUGUUCGGAUUCAUUGGGCGUAAAGGGUGCGUAGGCGGUGGGGUAAGUUGGAUGUGAAAUCCUUGGGGCUUAACCUCAAAAUUGCAUUCAAUACUGCUCCGCUCGAGUUCUGUAGAGGAGAUUGGAAUUUACGGUGUAGCAGUGAAAUGCGUAGAUAUCGUAAGGAACGCCAGUGGCGAAAGCGAAUCUCUGGGCAGCAACUGACGCUGAGGCACGAAGGCCAGGGGAGCAAACGGGG